AUUGAACGCUGGCGGCAGGCCUAACACAUGCAAGUCGAACGGUAACAGGAAACAGCUUGCUGUUUCGCUGACGAGUGGCGGACGGGUGAGUAAUGUCUGGGAAACUGCCUGAUGGAGGGGGAUAACUACUGGAAACGGUAGCUAAUACCGCAUAACGUCGCAAGACCAAAGAGGGGGACCUUCGGGCCUCUUGCCAUCGGAUGUGCCCAGAUGGGAUUAGCUAGUUGGUGGGGUAAAAGCCUACCAAGGCGACGAUCAGUAGCCGACCUGAGAGGGUGAUCGGCCACAUUGGAACUGAGACACGGUCCAA
rnacentral:rRNA from 1 species